UACGGAGGGUGCAAGCGUUAUCCGGAUUCACUGGGUUUAAAGGGUGCGUAGGUGGGUCUGUAAGUCAGUGGUGAAAUCUCCGAGCUUAACUCGGAAACUGCCAUUGAUACUAUAGAUCUUGAAUUAUCUGGAGGUUAGCGGAAUAUGUCAUGUAGCGGUGAAAUGCUUAGAUAUGGCAUAGAACACCGAUUGCGAAGGCAGCUGACUACAGGUAUAUUGACACUGAGGCACGAAAGCGUGGGGAUCAAACAGG
rnacentral:rRNA from 1 species